rnacentral:lncRNA from 1 species
GGAGCCCCAGCCCGGACCAUGUGGUAAAAGUGGCCGAGUACAACAAAGUGAAGCUGAGCAUCUUCAUUGCCCGCCUCUAUCACGACUGUGACCCGGGAUUCCAGCACGGGCUUCGCAGACUGCAGGACACAGAGGCACGCGUGCACAUCAUGUCUUCUAAGGGAUUUGAACACUGUUGAGAAGACUGUGUACAAGAGAGAUGUGCCAUGUCAGCCUUGCAAGGGACAGCGUGAAAACUACCCAUCUCCGGUCACCAAGUUGCAGGGGGCCAGGAGCCAGGAGGGGAAACCACUCAGUUUGCAAAACGUCGCUUCCACAAGCCUGAUGGCUGAAACUGCUCACUGUACCCUGAAACCAGCUUUACCUACAGCUUCUGAGAUAAACUGCUGCAACUCUGGGACCCACGAUGCCUAUCACAGUGGCUCAUCAAUGGAACCUGCCGGCUCCCAACCCUUCCUAGGGCCCAUGAACUCUCUGAAAAGAGGAACAGAAAUAUUUCUCCUUUUUGUAAAAUCUUUAACCUUCCCUUUGUUCUUCAUGUACACGCUGAACUGCAAUUCUUCUUCCCAAAUAAAACAUUAAAUUUAGAAAU